rnacentral:rRNA from 1 species
GAUGAACGCUGGCGGCGUGCCUAAUACAUGCAAGUCGAGCGAACAGACGAGGAGCUUGCUCCUCUGACGUUAUCGGCGGACGGGUGAGUAACACGUGGAUAACCUACCUAUAAGACUGGGAUAACUUCGGGAAACCGGAGCUAAUACCGGAUAAUAUAUUGAACCGCAUGGUUCAAUAGUGAAAGACGGUUUUGCUGUCACUUAUAGAUGGAUCCGCGCCGCAUUAGCUAGUUGGUAAGGUAACGGCUUACCAAGGCAACGAUGCGUAGACGACCUGAGAGGGUGAUCGGCCAGACUGGAACUGAGACACGGUCCAGACUCCUACGGUAGGAAGCAGUAGGGAAUCUUACGCGAUGGGCGAGAGCUUGACGGAGCAACGCCGCGUGAGUGAUGAAGGUCUUCGGAUCGUAAAGCUCUGUUAUUAGGGGAGAAGAAAUGUGUAAGUAACUAUGCACGUAUUGACGGUACCUAAUCAGAAAGCCCCGGCUAACUCCGUG